rnacentral:tRNA from 1 species
UCUAAUGUGGCAGAAUAAUGCACUGGCCUUAAACCCCAUUAAUAAAGAAUAUCUUUCUUUAGAA